GCACAUGGAGGUUUCCAGAGAAGGGGUCGAAUCAGAGCUGUAGCUGCCCACCUACACCACAGCCACAGCAACACAGGAUCCGAGCCACGUCUGCAACCUACACCACAGCUCACAGCAAUGCCAGAUCCUUAACCCAAUGAGCAAGGCCAUAAUGAAGCAAAUCUUAUUGCAGUUAAGUAAGUCACACAAAAUUUUUUGUUUCCAAAUUCAUAUAAAAGUUAUAUUUACAACACACUGUAGUCUAUUAAGUGUGUAAUAUAGCAUUAUGUCUAAAAAUGUACAUACUUUAAUUUUAAAAUACUUUAUUGCUAAAAAAAUGCUAACCAUCAUCUGACAAUACAGGUUGUCACAAACCUUCAAUCUGUAAAAAAUACAUUCCAAACCAUUAUGAUCUUUUUAUAUGUUCCCUACUCCUUGAAGUGGAAAUUCAAAAAUUUUUUUCCUAAUAAAAUAACUAGAGAAGGAUGGCACAUCCCAUUAUAAUGUAUUGAGUGGCUUUUGAGCUAAGCAGAUUUAUCAAGGGUCUGUUACACUAAUCAAUGGAUUUUCUCCUUUCUUAUUCUGAAUUACUGUGUUUUAACAUCUUCAUUUCUUAUAUGGGGUAGGGUGGAGUUGGGGAAGGUAAAAAGCUUCAUAUAGAAAGGGGAGGUACUAGUAUCUUUCACUAAAUAAAAACACUGAUGCAUGCAAUUUGGCACAUCUGAGUUCACAAAAAAGCCGAAAUUAAAUGUAAAAUACAAUUGAUAAAUUUAAAUCUAUUUUUAAAAGCUGAGGAAUCAACUGCUUCAGUAAAAAUGCCAAUUUUAGAUUAACACUUUUUCAGAUCCGGAAGGGGAUGGAAAAUUGAUGUACAUACUAGAAAAUACUCUUUCAUUAGAAGUUAUACUUUUUAAUUCUUAGAAUUUUAAGUCACUUGCAAAAUAAAAUUUAUUUUAAAACAAUAUGUAUCUAGAAGAAGGGUAUUUAAACAAAAGAUUUAACUCCGCUUGCUUAAAUAACUAAAGCUAAUAAUUUUAUUGUUUUGUCAAGUGCCCUUAGAUGAACGUCUUGAGAGCUAUUAUAGCGAUAUCCUAUGCUGGACCGGACUGAGUGAUGAUUGAGUCAUCCCUAAAAGACUUCUCAGGAGAACUUCUAAGGAGAAAAUGAAAAUCUACCUUCUCAACUAUAAGAAAAAUACAAGAUGAAAGGACUUUCAACUCAAGGCACAUUUGCUAACUGUGCAUAGUACAUUGCCACAGAAAACUAACUGUGGAUUGGCAUGUAAAUUUUGGUAUAAAUAGAGAAAUGUGAGUAAAUGGAAGGGUAAAUAAUCCUUCUAGACAGAGCUGAAUUACCGCUUUAAACUACUGACUGUCACACACAGGCAGUUCUAAUUACCAGGUAAAAGCGGCCUGCAUACCAUUCCUGUGAGCCCCCUACAAUCAACAAGCUUAGUCUCACAAUUAGGUAAAGAGGGAACAUUGCAAAAAAUACAAGUUCCAUUAACUGGAUCAAAUGAGCAGCUGGUGUAAGGACAUCAACUCUAGCUAGGAAAACUUUUCAACUUGAUUUACACUCAGAAAGGCAAAUUUUCCAUCUUAAAAUAAAUGAAGAUUAGUAAAGACAUUUCAAACUAAGAUAUCAGGAACCUAGCUCUUGGAUAUGGGUUUACUUGCAGCCAUUGUGGCUUAAGUGUUUACAUUUUUUCAGCUAUCAGGUUCUACGUCUUUUCAAUAAGCUUCUCAUUAGCUUUAUAAAAAAAAAUAUACCUCCUUUUGCUAAGUGACUGUAACAGUCUUUGUAUCAGCAUUUUGAGCAGACAAUCAAGGCUGACGUCUCAUGAAGAGCUGCAACAUGGGCUCUGCAUAGUAAAUUUGCAAUCACAAAACCUGGUCUGAUCUUACUUUCUAGUUCCUAGAUCUGAAUAGAUAAUAAUAAAUCAAUUUAGAACAUAUCUUUCAAAGAAACCAAAGCUAAUCAUAAGCAAAAGAAUUUGCUAGAGUCUAACUACAUCUGACCCUUGACCAACACUGGGGGCUUGGGGUAUCCACCCUGCACUGAGUGGAAAAUCUGCAGGUAACUUACAGCUGACCCUCCAUAUCCUUCAUCCCUCACUAUUCAAGGAUCGUGCACAAAUAGAAUAUUUACUACUUUUAAAAAUCUAUGUUUAAGUGGAUCCACGAAGUCAAAUACAUGUGGUUGGAGGGUCAGCUAUUAAAUAAGAUAUGGAUCCCUGUACUUCCCGUCAUGGCACAGCGGACACGAAUUCUAGGAACCAUGAGGUUGCGGGUUCGAUCCCUGGCCUCGUUCAAUGAUUGGUUAAGGAUCUGGUGUUGCUGUGAGCUGUGGUGUAGGUCAAAGAUGUGCAGCUCAGAUCUGGCAUUGCUGUGGCUGUGGCAUAGGCCAGCGACCACAGUUCCAAUUGGACCCCUAGCCUGGGAACCUCCAUAUGCCAUGGAUGUGGCCCUAAAAAGACAAAA
rnacentral:lncRNA from 1 species